rnacentral:lncRNA from 1 species
UGCAGGCUCAUACAUUGCCUUCCUUCAGACGCACUGAUUGGUUCAGACGUGGGCACAUGAUCUAAGGUGGCAGAUUAAGAGUUUAUUGCAUUAGAAUGAAAUGAGCGUGAGUUCGAAAUGGAAUACAUAUAGUAGUACCCUUCUAUUCGGACAUCUCAUUGAUAGGAAACAAAACUAUGUCAUGCAUUGAAAUAGAACUUUAUAACCAUAGCAUUGCAAAGCAAGAAAUUAAUCCAAAGGUUGCCCAAUCCAAGAUAUUCAAAGCAGAAAUCCACUCUAGCUUGAAACAUGAACGACUCAUGCUGUUCCCUCUGCAUUCCAUUCAGCCAAUUAUUAUUAUUAUUGUCAUCAUCAUCAUCAUCAUCAUCAUCAUUAUUAUUUAUCUCUUCAGGACAGGAAAUUGUGUGCAGAAAUCCAGAGGCUUCUGCACUUUUCCAGAGCAGGUGGUGGGCUCCCAAGCUUCGCCAAAGGAGGUUGUACUUUCACUAAGUACCACAAAGUACCAAGGCAGAGGCUGAAAUGGCACUUGUCCAAUAUCUUUACCAAAAAUAACUUGAGCUUUGGCCCCGUGGCCCGCAGCUCUCAGUGGGAGUGUCACAGAUACAUAAGCAGCCUUUCCUCCAAAGCGAGUCAGCGCUAAGGAAAAUGCUUUGCCCGACACUAAGGAGAGAGGCUGUCUGCUCUGCGGCCAGGUCUCCCUUCCCCAGUCAUUACCCACCCGAAGAAGGAUGACUUGGAAGAUGACAUCGAAAUCAGAUGGGAGAAAAUCUGGGCACAGAUAAACAAAGUCCCUGUCCCCAUGGAGCUUACACCCUAGUAGGAGAAAGCCUUCUGAGUGAUUCUCCUGCUAUAAGGCACAUGAUCAUCGACUAACGCAGACGGAAUGGUUUGGAAAUCCCGCUUCCCCAGUUUCUGCACAGAAGCCCCAGCACCCUGCAUUCGAAUGUUUUCUAAAUGCUCCUCCCCCAGACUUUUGAGAGUUCUUCUGAAAUCGAGUCAACAGGAAGAGUCACACUUACCAUUCUGUUACAAAGCCAUAUCAUAACCAUUAAAACAGAUGUAAAA